CUUGUGUUGUGAUGAGCUAGUAGGAACAUGCUUAAUAAACUUGUACCUUGUACCUUAUAUAUGAUGCUUACCAAGUGUUCGAUGAAAUGCCUAAAAGAAGAAUGUAUGUGGAAAUAGUAUAACGAAACCACAAACUAAAUGAAGUGAAUGAAUGUUCUAAUGUAGGCAUAAAGGAAGAAGGUACAAGCACCAAGAAAACGGAAGGAGCGCAAGAUCGAGGUAAAGCACCUCUAUAGGCGAUUUGGAGAUAUGGAGCGAGCACAUGUUCAAGCCUUAUUAUACCAAGCGCUUCCGUAAAUUUAUAUGCAUGCUUUUGGGUCCAUGUUUUGUUACUUGUUAAACCUUGUUAAAAGUUUUAGAUUUGAAAACUUGUUGUUUUUGUUUGGGAUGAUUUAAUGUAAAAAGGGUCGUAUGUAAAUGUCGUCUAUUAUGUCAAAACAGGGGGUAUGUCCGUUUUACAAACGGAUCAUGCCCAAAUUUUGU